rnacentral:lncRNA from 1 species
GCAGGUUACUUUCUUAUAUGCAAUGAAAUGUAGUGUGAAAUUUUCACUGUAGCACUGGAAAGGAUUAAACUUUAUUCAUGCAAAGUAUUUCUUUGGUUGAAAUAAAGGUAAAUUCUGUACAUUUUUUUUAAAAGUACCAAUUUAACAAAGACUAAUAGGGAAAAAUCAAUGGUGGUAUUACACCUAUUUAGGGAAACUACAUGUGCACUCGUGACCUUAUUGUACUUUCAUUUUUAAAAGUUAUUAAUAAACCAGUUCAUACAUUGUAAACAUGGACUAUUCGGAAUGGAUUGAGACACAGAAAGCACGUUUGAGGUAAAAUUGCCUUGAAAUGGGGGUUUACGGGUGUUUUCUAAGUCAAAUGGGUGGACAGACAAAGCUGUAUUUAGUUUACUGUGUUAAAUUUUAAAUAAUACCCUAACAGUUUUGUUUAUACAACAUGUGAAUUUUUUUAUUUCAGUGUUCACAUGUUCUGAAGAGCAUUCUGUUGAAAAAUCUUAUAUGUGAAUUGGUCUGCAGAUGACACUUCAGCAUUAAAGUAAGUAUCAACUAUCAUCAUGUUUUUUUGUUUUUUUUGGCCGCAAAAGUUUACAAUUUGCCAUUGUGCCAUCUACAUUUUGCACAGACAAUAAAUCAUCUAAACACUUAUUUGCCCUGGAUUUAUACACAUCAGAAUCCAGUCUCACAUACUUACUUAACUUUAUAAUUCUCUUUACCAAUUAUUUUUUGUACCAGCAUUCCAAGGGACAUAACCCUUUUUAAAAACAUUUUGAGGUAUUUUUUAUUACUCUUUCUCCCCAUUUUCUAAUGUAAAAUACAAGAAAGUGGACACUUUGUGUAAAUCUAUUAGAAAUAUACUGUUAUGAGUAAAUAAAAAGACUUUGAUACCAGUAACAAUAAAUGGUUGACUGAAAGGGAACCGUUAUUUGUCACACUAGGCGAACAGACUAAAAACUCGAGUUACACAUAAGGGCUUCUAGAAACUUCCGUGUAGACUGUUAACAUUUAUAGAGACAGUUCUUUCAGCUAAAACACUUUAAUUAUUGAUUUAACAUUACAUUUAUAUCAUUUUUGUGGGGAAAUAAUCACAUUUGUUUUAUUUUUUAGACAAAAGAUAUCAAGUUUUGAUGAAAAAGGAAGGAAGGAGGAAAAAUGGACCAAAACAGACCAAAACAGACCUUCAAAUGAACUCUAAAAGGUGCAAUAAAAUUGUUUAUCAUCUAAAAGUUGUCUUUUGUAUUCUAUUUAAUUGUUUGAAUGCAUAGAUCAUGAGUUUUUGAUCAGAUAUUAGUCAACACUGCAUUUUAUAAUGAUACACUGAAAUUUGGAUUUGUCGAAGAAAUAAGACUGAAAUUGCCGUAGGAUAUGGCCUUACAUUAUAGUGAUUUUCUCUGAAACUAUAGAUCUGACUGAGACAAAACUUGGCAGUUAUGCUUGAAAUAACUUGCAAUUGGAGGGAAAAAAAUUACAUUAAGUUUAUUUGACAUUUAGGUGUUCUUUAGGUGUAAUACCACCAAAUCAUGAUACGCCACAUCCGGUUGCAUACGAAAGUAGGUCUAAAAAAAUAUUCCCUUGAAUUUGACAGUUGUAGAAAAUUAACCCUGCAUUUCAAUGCACUUAAAUUUUUCUGAGUCAUAAACAUGUAUGUUGGGUGUCUGAAAGCAUCAUUCUUUUUUUAUUUGAUGGUCUUAUAAAAUAUUUUGGAAAGUUAAGGUUACAUAGUUGCCAAAGCAGGUAACCAGUAAAUAACCUGGUAAAAAUGUGAUUGUUUACUUCCGGUGCAGGUUACUUUCUCUAUAUGCAAUGAAAUGUAGUGUGAAAUUUUCACUGUAGCACUGGAAAGGAUUAAACUUUAUUCAUGCAAAGUAUUUUCUUUGGUUGAAAUAAAGGUAAAUUCUGUACAUUUUUUUUAAAAGUACCAAUUUAACAAAGACUAAUAGGGAAAAAUCAAUGGUGGUAUUACACCUAUUUAGGGAAACUACAUGUGCACUCGUGACCUUAUUGUACUUUCAUUUUUAAAAGUUAUUAAUAAACCAGUUCAUACAUUGUAAACAUGGACUAUUCGGAAUGGAUUGAGACACAGAAAGCACGUUUGAGGUAAAAUUGCCUUGAAAUGGGGGUUUACGGGUGUUUUCUAAGUCAAAUGGGUGGACAGACAAAGCUGUAUUUAGUUUACUGUGUUAAAUUUUAAAUAAUACCCUAACAGUUUUGUUUAUACAACAUGUGAAUUUUUUAUUUCAGUGUUCACAUGUUCUGAAGAGCAUUCUGUUGAAAAAUCUUAUAUGUGAAUUGGUCUGCAGAUGACACUUCAGCAUUAAAGUAAGUAUCAACUAUCAUCAUGUUUUUUGUGUUUUUUUUGGCCGCAAAAGUUUACAAUUUGCCAUUGUGCCAUCUACAUUUUGCACAGACAAUAAAUCAUCUAAACACUUAUUUGCCCUGGAUUUAUACACAUCAGAAUCCAGUCUCACAUACUUAAACUUUAUAAUUCUUACCAAUUAUUUUUUGUACCAGCAUUCCAAGGGACAUAACCCUUUUUAAAAACAUUUUGAGGUAUUUUUUUUAUUACUCUUUCUCCCCAUUUUUCUAAUGUAAAAUACAAGAAAGUGGACACUUUGUGUAAAUCUAUUAGAAAUAUACUGUUAUGAGUAAAUAAAAAGACUUUGAUACCAGUAACAAUAAAUGGUUGACUGAAAGGGAACCGUUAUUUGUCACACUAGGCGAACAGACUAAAAACUCGAGUUACACAUAAGGGCUUCUAGAAACUUCCGUGUAGACUGUUAACAUUUAUAGAGACAGUUCUUUCAGCUAAAACACUUUAAUUAUUGAUUUAACAUUACAUUUAUAUCAUUUUUGUGGGGAAAUAAUCACAUUUGUUUUAUUUUUUUAGACAAAAGAUAUCAAGUUUUGAUGAAAAAGGAAGGAAGGAGGAAAAAUGGACCAAAACAGACCAAAACAGACCUUCAAAUGAACUCUAAAAGGUGCAAUAAAAUUGUUUAUCAUCUAAAAGUUGUCUUUUGUAUUCUAUUUAAUUGUUUGAAUGCAUAGAUCAUGAGUUUUUGAUCAGAUAUUAGUCAACACUGCAUUUUAUAAUGAUACAAUGAAAUUUGGAUUUGUCGAAGAAAUAAGACUGAAAUUGCCGUAGGAUAUGGCCUUACAUUAUAGUGAUUUUCUCUGAAACUAUAGAUCUGACUGAGACAAAACUUGGCAGUUAUGCUUGAAAUAACUUGCAAUUGGAGGGAAAAAAAUUACAUUAAGUUUAUUUGACAUUUAGGUGUUCUUUAGGUGUAAUACCACCAAAUCAUGAUACGCCACAUCCGGUUGCAUACGAAAGUAGGUCUAAAAAAAUAUUCCCUUGAAUUUGACAGUUGUAGAAAAUUAACCCUGCAUUUCAAUGCACUUAAAUUUUUCUGAGUCAUAAACAUGUAUGUUGGGUGUCUGAAAGCAUCAUUCUUU